CAUGCAAGUCGAGGGGAAACGACAUCGAAAGCUUGCUUUUGAUGGGCGUCGACCGGCGCACGGGUGAGUAACGCGUAUCCAACCUGCCCACCACUUGGGGAUAACCUUGCGAAAGUAAGACUAAUACCCAAUGACGUCUCUAGAAGACAUCUGAAAGAGAUUAAAGAUUUAUCGGUGAUGGAUGGGGAUGCGUCUGAUUAGCUUGUUGGCGGGGUAACGGCCCACCAAGGCGACGAUCAGUAGGGGUUCUGAGAGGAAGGUCCCCCACAUUGGAACUGAGACACGGUCCAAACUCCUACGGGAGGCAGCAGUGAGGAAUAUUGGUCAAUGGACGAGAGUCUGAACCAGCCAAGUAGCGUGCAGGAAGACGGCCCUAUGGGUUGUAAACUGCUUUUAUAAGGGAAUAAAGUGAGAGUCGUGACUCUUUUUGCAUGUACCUUAUGAAUAAGGACCGGCUAAUUCCGUGCCAGCGGCCGCGGUAAUACGGAAGGUCCGGGCGUUAUCCGGAUUUAUUGGGUUUAAAGGGAGCGUAGGCCGGAGAUUAAGCGUGUUGUGAAAUGUAGAUGCUCAACAUCUGAACUGCAGCGCGAACUGGUUUCCUUGAGUACGCACAAAGUGGGCGGAAUUCGUGGUGUAGCGGUGAAAUGCUUAGAUAUCACGAAGAACUCCGAUUGCGAAGGCAGCUCACUGGAGCGCAACUGACGCUGAAGCUCGAAAGUGCGGGUAUCGAACAGGAUUAGAUACCCUGGUAGUCCGCACGGUAAACGAUGGAUGCCCGCUGUUGGUCUGAAUAGGUCAGCGGCCAAGCGAAAGCAUUAAGCAUCCCACCUGGGGAGUACGCCGGCAACGGUGAAACUCAAAGGAAUUGACGGGGGCCCGCACAAGCGGAGGAACAUGUGGUUUAAUUC
rnacentral:rRNA from 1 species